rnacentral:lncRNA from 7 species
GGCGUGUGAGUGAGGACUCUCCGCUGGAAUUUGUACCGAGAAGAGCCCAGGAUCCCAUCCUUGAGCUGCAUUAGAAGCAAAUUGUGAUAUCAUGUGCGAUGGCGCCUUUGGUGUUCCGUUUCUGGAUGGUUGCCUGGAUCCGGAUUUUGUGCCUCAGGGGAAACCCAGAGGCCCUCUUGGUCAAUCAACAGCGUGGAAUCGUGUCCCUGAGCCCGGUGUGGAUGCUGGAGGUGUGACUGGAGGUGUAGGUGAUCCAGCUUCCCCUCUGCGAUCCAGGAUGCGUGGGAGUCCGUCAUCUCGCAUGGAAGUGUGGCCAGGGAAGGCGUUGCCAAGUCCUCAGCUCUUUCCUGUGCUGGAGCCCCGCUGGAAUCCCAGGGGUCCGGAAAGAGGAAAGGAUACAUCUAGAAGAGGGAAAUACUCCCCGAGGUCAUCUCCUGGGCUAAAGGAACUCCUGAAGGAAAUGGAGAAGGCAGCGCGUGGAAGUGACCAACCAUCUGCACAGGACACGCUGCGGUUUGGCAGCCAUCCCACACUGCCAGUCUCGGCCAGAGGAGCACAGACAGCGCCGACAACUGGCAUGCCAGGGGUGGAUGCUGGGAAAAACACAAGGGCUGUGCUUCAGGAGUUUCUGCAGGUGCACUUCACCCUAGUGAUCGCAGUGCUUGUAACUGUGCUGCUGUCUGGGCUGGUGAUGACCUGUAUUGCUGUGUCGUGGAUGUGGCACAAAUAUCCAGUGUGCAAGAGGGCAGAGACAGCUCCAGGACAAGCUCAUCCUGAGAGUGACCGGGAGAGAGGCCAAUCUGGAGGUGAAGGCAGAGCGGAGCUGGGAGAGGCAACAGAAGAUGCCGUAGUUGCCCAAGAAAAGAAGAAUGUGUCCAGCGGAUCCAGCCCGUUCCCCUCCUCCUUUGAAGCGGAGUUUGAACAGCUGUGCAGCAAAAUCAGCACAGACCCUUCCCUUUGGCCCACGUGUACCAGCAGCUCUCCCACGGACGGCAUCUCUUCCCCAGAUGCUCGCGGUUCUCGGGGUUCCCCAUAGCCAUCUAGUGCUCCGGUUACCUGUGUCAGCAGGGCUGGGGUCCCCUGGAAGACCCCGCUUUGUGAGUAAUAAAGACACCCUGUGC